AUCUUUUCUAGCUCAGUGAUGGUUUCAUGCUGCUUCGAGGGGCAACGUGAGCCAAACGCUUCUUUUAUUGCAAAUACAUGUACUCCUCCAACAGUAGAGA